CUGACUGAAAGAGAGAGACAGACCUCUGAGCACCCUGUCAAUUCAGUUGCUGUUAGUUGAAAAGAAAUGCGGUCUGCUGUGUGCACACCUGGCCCUAAGCAGCUCUCUGGGCACUCAUCAGCAGAAAGCUAAUCUUUAAUGCAUGCUCAAGCUGGCUAAACAAGCCUGGAAGACUUAACCCUUUCAACGCCUCUCCCUUGAUUAAUGAAGGUCUAUAGCCAACGAUUUGACCUACAGCACAGGAAGAGAUUGCUACCAGAGAUUGCUACCAUACCAUUCAAGAACAAAAACAACAUCAGCAUAGGGAUUAAUGAUAACGUCUCUUAUACCAAGAAGAGGUGCAAUGACCACAGAGAGUUUGAGUGGAUGCGAUGAGCAAACAAUUUGUCUCUGCUCCACAGGGGUUGGUACAACAAAGCAGAUACAGACACCAAGAUUAGCCUCGAUUCCCACUGCCCCAAAUCACUGAAGCCCCAUCAUUGACAAAUUAAACCUGCUGCCAACUUACAGUCUCCACGAAGUGAUUAGAAAUGAAAAGACAUUGACAGAAUCUCACAAUAUUAAGCUAUAAAGAUCCUCCUUUUUUAUAUAAAUAAAUAAAUAAAUAAAUAAUGUGCUUGUGGAAUCUGUGUAUAAAACUAUUGGAAGAAACUUGGGUAGAAAUAACACAGAUGAAAGCAUUGUAUGAAAGAUUUCUAUAAGUGAUGUUUCCCUUUUAACAGUAGCAAAACUUUGCGACAAAUAAAACAUACAUUGCUGCAUUUUGGGCCAAAUUUGUAUUAACAUUAAUCACUUUCUGUACAGAACAGAAAGCCUAUUAAUAAUUUGGGUUACUCAAGCAAUGGAGAGAAUUGUCAUUUUGCCAUUUAGGCUAUCCUGUGAAUGGGAUCCUUUGUGACGUUUGUUAAUUGAAACUGCACCACGUCCUGUUAUCACUGGAUAAGAGGAUUUGAAACCCUAAAUUUAGUGAAUGGCUAAAAUAUCUAAUUUCUCUGCUUAGUUAAUUGUUCUUGCUUUUACUAGGCUCCAGAAAUACUGCUUGUAGGUAUAAUUAAUAUUUUGACACAAAAUGCUUCAGAAAUAUUGAUAAAAACUUCUCAUCAGAAAAAAUGUCACUGUAUCACUAAGUUUCUUUUUAGUACUAUUUACGUUAAAGGUUAUGGUUAGGGUUCUACUUAAAUCGUGGUUUAAACUGCUGCC